rnacentral:lncRNA from 1 species
AGCGAGAGGAGGGGAUUUGGUUGGCUUGAUACACGUCUGAACUCGUAUCUUUCAUCCCUUGUCUUUUUUGGUUUUGGUCUUGGUUUUCCUUCCCUCACAUUACUCCUGAUCCAGCUGGGCCAUCAGGAAGAAAGAUAUGGGGAUUGGAGAUGGACUUCUUGGAGGGUGGAGAUUCUUUUAAUUUUCUCCUCUCGGUUUUUUCUCCCCUCUUGGUUGGUAGAGAGAGAAAAGGAGGGAGGUUGGAGAUUGAAUGGCCGCUAUGCCGUGAUGUUGCAGUUGCUGCUUGGUUACUCGCUCGAAGGGGAGAUGGUGGGAUGGGACUUUUAUUAAUUAGAUGGAGUGAAUUUCCCAUAAUGCCCCUACUUUCUCUUAUAGAGAGGUUCCUUUCUGGACAAAUUCUUUCCUUUACCUUGACCAUGAAGUGCCGUAGGAUAACCUUUUCCUAUUCUGCUCUUGCUUGACAUGGUAAACAGUACUGCCAAGCAUUAUCUCAGUUAUUUAAUUAGUUUUAUGGGCCUUUCUUUAGCAUAAUUACUAUUUCGUACCUUUAUUCAAAAAAUUUAUUAAACUGAAAAAGCUUUUUGCCGGUCUUUGUUGCAUUCAUGUAUCUUUGUCGAAAUAACGUGCUUGAUAGCUAUCUAUUUUCAUAUCUUUUUUUAAAAUAUUUUAUAUUUAUUAAAAAAAUUUAUUAUUAAAAAAAAGGCCUCAUUCACUGAACCUGCCUUAGGCCUCCAAAUGUAUUGGGCCGCUCCUGAUACUGCUAGUCCUUUUUCUUGAAAUUAAUUUAAGGAAGGCAUAUAGGAACUAUAAGAAAUUGGAUCACUUCUUGAUUUUAUAUUUAGUUAUCAUUCUGAUUUGGCAACAACUUAAAUGUAAUGGAUGAAACAGGAAUGAAGUUCCUUUAUAUAUAAUCAAAAAAUCCUAACACGAGUGUCCUUUUUGAUGUACUUUGCAUCAUUGCAGAAGUGUUGGAAAAAUUAGAAGUGGCUGAGCAAGACUCUUCCAAUGC